rnacentral:lncRNA from 1 species
AAUCUGCAAGUGGAUAUUUGGAUAGCUCUGACGAUUUCCUUGGAAACGGGAAUAUCUUCAUAUAAAAUCUAGACAGAAGCACUCUCAGGAGGUACUUUGUGAUAUCUGCAUUCAAGUCACAGAGUUGAACAUUCCCUUUCUUAGAGCAGGUUUGAGACACUUUGUAGUAUCUGGAAGUGGACAUUUUUAGCGCUUUGACGCCUUUGGUGAAAAAGGAAAUGUUUUCCCAUAAAAACUAGACAGAAGCAUUCUAAGAAACUUCUUUGGGAUAUAUGUACUCAACUAACAGAGUUGAACCUUUCUAUUUAUAGGUCAGUUUUGAGAAGCUCUUGUUGUGGAAUCUGCAAGUGGAUAUUAGGAUAGCUCUGAGGAUUUCCUUGGAAACGGGAUUACAUAUAAAAAGUAGACAGCAGCAUUCUCAGAACCUUCUUUGUGAUGUUUGCUUUUAAGUCACAGAGUUGAAUAUUCCCUUACAUAGAGCAGGUUUGAAACACUAUUUCUGUAGUAUCUGGACAUGGACAUUUCGAGCGAUUUCAGGCCUAUGUUGAAAACGGAAAUAUCUUCCCAUAAAUACUAGACAGAAGCAUUCUCAGAAAUUUCUUUGUGAUGUGUGUCCUCAACUAACAGAGUUCAUCCUUUCUUAUGAUACAGCAGUUUUGAAACACUCUUUUUGUAGAAUAUGUAAGUGGAUAGUUGGAUAGCUCUCAUUAUUUCAUUGGAAACGGGAGUAUCAACAUAGAAAACCUAGACAGAAAAAUUCUCAGAAACUGCUUUAUGAUGUCUGCAUUCACGUCACAGAGUUGAUCAUUCCCUUUCAUAGAGCAGGUUUGAAACACUAUUUCUGUAGUAUGUGGACAUGGACAUUUCGAGCGAUUUCAGGCCUAUGUUGAAAACGGAAAUAUCUUCCCAUAAAAACUAGACAGAAGCAUUCUCAGAAAUUUCUUUGUGAUGUGUGUCCUCAACUAACAGAGUUCAUCCUUUCUUAUGAUACAGCAGUUUGGAAACACUCUUUUUGUAGAAUAUGUAAGUGGAUAGUUGGAUAGCUCUCACUAUUUCGUUGGAAACGGGAGUAUCAACAUAGAAAACCUAGACAGAAACAUUCUCAGAAACUGCUUUAUGAUGUCUGCAUUCACGUCACAGAGUUGAUCAUUCCCUUUCAUAGAGCAGGUUUGAAACCCUCUUUCCGUAGUAUCUGGAUGUGGACACUUGGAGCGCUUUGACGCUUACGGUGCAAAAGGAAAUAUCUUCCCAUAAAAACUAGACAGAAGCAUUCUCACAAACUGGAUUGUGAUGUUUGUCCUCAACUAACAGAGUUGAAACUUUCUAUUUACAGAGCACUUUUGAAAGACUCUUUUUGGAGAAUCUGCAAGUGGAUAUUUGGAGAGCUUUAAGGAUUUCAUUGGAAACGGGAAUAUCUUCAGAGCAGUUUUGAAACACUCUUUUUGUAGAAUCUGCAGGUGGAUAUUGGGAUAGCUUUAAGGAUUUCAUUGGAAACGGGAAUAUCCAAAUAUCAACUUGCAGAUUCUACAAAAAUAGUGUAUCAAAGCUGCUCUGUAAAAAGAAAGGUUCCACUCUGUUAGCUGAGUACACACAUCACAAACAUGUUUCUGAGAAUCCUUCUGUGUAGUUUUUAUAGGAAGAUAUUUCCUUUUUCAGCAUAGGCAUCAGAGCGCUCCAAAUGUCCACUUCCCGGUAGUACAAGAAGAGUGUUUCAAACCGGCUCUAUGAAAGGGAAUGUUCAACUCUACGAGUUGAAUGAAAAGAUCACAAAGAAGUUUCUGAGAAUGCUUCUGUCUAGAUUUUAUAUGUAUAUAUUCCCGUUUCCAACGAAAUCCUCUAAGCUAUCCAAAUAUCCACUUGCAGAUUCCGCAAAAAGAGUGUUUCAAAACUGCUCUGUCAAAAGAAAGGUUCAAUUCUGUUAGUUGAGUACAAACAUCACAAAGAAGUUUCUGAGAAUGCUUCUGUCUAGUUUUUAUGGGAAGAUAUUUCCUUUUUCACCAUGGGCCUCAAAGUGCUUCAAACGUCCACUUCCAGAUACUACAAAAAGAGUGUUUCAAACCUGCUCUAUGAAAGAGAAUGUUCAAUUCUGUGACUUGAAGGCAGACAUCACAAAGCAGUUUCUGAGAAUGCUUCUGUCGAGAUUAUAUACGAAGAUACUCCCGUUUCCAACGAAAUCCUAAAAUCUAUCCAAAUAUCCACUUGCAGAUUCUACAAAAAGAGUGUUUCAAAACUGCUCUGUGAAAAGAAAGCUUCAACUCUGUUAGCUGAGUACACACAUCACAGACAAGUUUCUGAGAAUGCUUCUGUCUAUUUUUUAUGGGAAGAUAUUUCCUUUUUCACCAUAGGCGUCAAAGCGCUCGAAAUGUCCACUUCCACAUACUACAAAAAGAGUGUUUCAAACCUUCUCUAUGAAAGGGAAUGUUCAACUCUAUGAGUUGAAUGCAAACAUCAGAACGAAAUUUCUGAGAAUGCUGCUGUCCACUUUUUAUAUGAAUGCGCGCUUUCAACGAAAUCCUCAAAGCAAUCCAAAUAUCCACUUGCAGAUUCCACAAAAAGAGUGUUUCAAAACUCCUCUAUCAAUAGAAAGUUUCAACUCUGUUAGUUGAGGACACACAUCACAAAUAAGUUUCUAAGAAUGCUUCUGUGUAGAUUUUACAUGAAGAUAUUCCCGUUUCCAAUGCCAUCCUUAAAGCCAUGCAAAUAUCCACUUGCAGAUUCUACAAAAAGAGUGUUUCAAAACUGCUCUGUAAAAAGAAAGGUUCAACUCUGUUAGUUGAGUACACACAUCACAAACAAGUUUCUGAGAAUGCUUCUGUCUCGUUUUUAUGGGAAGAUAUUUCCUUUUUCACCAAAGUCGUCAAAGCGCUCCAAAUGUCCACUUCCAGAUACUACAAAAAGAAUGUUUCAAACCUGCUCCAUGAAAGGGAAUGUUCAACUCUGUGACUUGAAUGCCGAUAUCACAAAGUAGUUUCUGAGAGUGCUUCUGUCUAGAUUUUAUAUGAAGAUAUUCUCAUUUCCAAUGAAAUCGUUAGAGCUAUCCAAAUAUCCACUUGCAGAUUCUACAAAAAGAGUGUUUCCAAACUGCUGUAUCAAAAGAAAGGUUGAACUUUGUUAGUUGAGGACACACAUUACAAAGAAGUUUCUGAGAAUGCUUCUGUCUAGAUUUUAUAUGAAGAUUUUCCCGUUUCCAAUGAAAUCCUUAAAGCUAUCCCAAUAUCCACCUGUAGAUUCUACAAAAAGAGUGUUUCAAAACUGCUCUGUAAAAAGAAUGGUUCAACUCUGUUAGUUGAGGACACACAUCACAAACAAGUUUCUGAGAAUGCUUCUGUCUAGUUUUUGUGGGAAGAUAUUUCCUUUUUCACUGUAGGCAUCAAAGCGCUCCAAAUGUCCACAUUCAGAUACUACAAAAAGAGUGUUUCAAACCUGCUCGAUGAAAGGGAAUGUUCAACUCUGUGACUUGAAUGCAGACAUCACAAAGCAGUUUCUGAGAAUGUUUCUGUCUAGAUUUUAUAUGAAGAUACUCCCGUUUCCAAUGAAAUCCACAAAGCUAUCCAAAUAUCCACUUGCAGAUUCUACAGAAAGCGUGUUUCCAAACUGCUCUGUCAAACGAAAUGUUCAACUCCGUUAGUUGAGGACACACAUCAGAAACAAGUUUCUGCGAAUGCUUCUGUGUAGUUUUUAUGGGAAGAUAUUUCCUUUUCCACCAUAGGCCUGAAAGCGCUCGAAAUGUCCACUUCCAGAUACUACAGAAAGAGUGUUUCAAACCUGCUCUAUGAAAGGGAAUGUUUUAUAUUUGUAUGUAUCAUAUGCCAAUUGUUACCUUUUUUGGCAGCACUGAAAAUUCAGGUGAUCUUAAACAUCAGACAGAUAACACAAAUAAGUGGUCCAGGUAAGGACUGUGUGAAAUAGAAAACAUAUCCUCUCUCAGAAAACAGUGAGAGGAUAUUGCUGAUGUGCAGGCCUCUGGCCCUUUGUUGAGAAACAGUUAUUGGAAAUCAGAUUUGUAUUUGAAGUAUUCCAGUUUUUAAAUUAGCAACUAUUUUCUUGCAACCCCAGCACUUUUGGAGGCCAAGAUGGGCAGAUUGCUUGAGCUCAGUAGUUCAAGACCAGCCUGGGCAACAUGGCAAGACCCCAUCUCUACCAAAAAUACAAAAAAUUAGCUGGGCAUGGUGGCAUGUGCUUGUGGUCCCAGCUACUAGGGAGACUGAGGUGGGAGGAUCACUUGAGCCCAGGAGGCAGAGCUUGCAAUGAACCGAGAUUGCACCACUGCACUCCAGCCUGGGCAAGAGAGUGAGACCCCAUCUGAUGUGAUUUGGCUGUGUCCCCACCCAAAUCUCGUAUUGAAUUCCCACAUGUGUGGGAGGGACCUGGUGGGAGGUAGUUGAAUCAUGGGGGCAGGUCUUUCCUGUGCUGUUCUCAUGGUGGUGAAUGACUCUCAUGGGAUCUGAUGAUUAUAGAAGGGGGAGUUUCCCUGCACAAGCUCUUUUAUCUUGUCUGCCACCAUGUGAGACAUGCCUUUCACCCUCCACCACGAUUGGGAAGCCUCCUCAGCCACGUGGAACUGUAAGUCCAUUAAAUGUCUUUCUUUUGUAAAUUGCCCAGUCUCAGGUAUGUCUUUAUCAGCAGUGUGAAAAUGGACUAAUACAGUAAAUUGGUACCAGAAGUGGGGUGUUGCUGAGAAGAUACCGGAAAAUGUGGAAGCAACUUUGGAACUGGGUAACAGGCAGAGGUUGAAACCGUUUGGAGGGCUCAGCAGAAGACAGGAAAAUGUGGGAAAGUUUGGAACUUCCUAGAGAUUUGUUGAAUGGCUUUGUCCAAAAUGCUGAUAGCGAUAUGGACAAUAAGGUCCAGGCUGAGGUGGACUCAGA